UUGGUUAAACAUGAUUUUAUUUUAAUAAUUUGAGUUAUUAUAGGUAAAAUUUUAAUAAUAAAUAGGGGUUUAAAGGUUAUGUUUUUAAGAUUUGUUAGGCGACUUAGAUUAGUACCUAAUUAGUCAAAAUUUAAAAUUUCAGGAGUAAAGUGUUGUUUAAACUGAAAGAAUAUUGGCAGAUUUUCUAAAUUAUCUUUGGAGGUUGAGUGAUAAUUGAGAACCCUCAUUAACAACUUUUUUAUUGAGCUCAUGUAUGAUCGUUUAUUUUAUUCUUAGGGGAUAAAAUGUUAAUUUUUAAGUUGAAAAAAUAGAUAUAUAUUUGGUUUAUAAAUAAAGUUAUAUUUGACCUACAAUACUUUAUUAGUUUUGGAUUAAUAGUUUAGUGCUGUUAUGAAAUUGUAAAAGACAGUAAAAAAAUCUUUAUGUUUUUUUGAAGAGUAUUUAGAAGUGGUACAAAUCAUCCAU
rnacentral:rRNA from 1 species